CCCGCACAAGCGGUGGAGCAUGUGGUUUAAUUCGACGCAACGCGAAGAACCUUACCAGGGCUUGACAUCCCCUGACCGCGUAUGAAAGUACGUUUCACCUUCGGGAGACAGGGAGACAGGUGGUGCAUGGUUGUCGUCAGCUCGUGUCGUGAGAUGUUGGGUUAAGUCCCGCAACGAGCGCAACCCUCGACCUUAGUUGCCAGCAUUCAGUUGGGCACUCUAAGGUGACUGCCGGCUAAAAGUCGGAGGAAGUGGGGAUGACGUCAAAUCAUCAUGCCCCUUAUGACCUGGGCUACACACGUGCUACAAUGGGCGGUACAAAGGGUCGCGAACCCGCGAGGGGGAGCCAAUCCCAAAAAGCCGCUCUCAGUUCGGAUUGCAGGCUGCAACUCGCCUGCAUGAAGCCGGAAUCGCUAGUAAUCGCGGAUCAGCAUGCCGCGGUGAAUACGUUCCCGGGCCUU
rnacentral:rRNA from 1 species